UUUACAUUUCUCAUGGAGCUUCUUUUUACCCUCAGCCAAAAUUUUCCUUCUUUUUCUAAAUUUUCAGAUUUAGAUUCAUCAAACCCACUCCCCAAAUUUAACUUCGUAUUUGCCCCCAAAUUUUAAAAAACCUAUCACAAUAUCUCCUAAAUCACAUUUUGGCGUUCCCUCUACGACCACAUUUUCCCUCUUCACAGUUCUAAUUUCUCUUCCCUGCAUCACAAUCUCGAAUCUCUCCAGAAGCUUCUUCUCACCAAAGCCAUCUUCAUCGACGAAGACACGUUCUCCAAAGCCUUCCUUACCGCUGACCAAGCCCGCUCCAUCAAACUGCUCCAGCCACGAGUUGAGAUAUUGGAGAGAGAGGUUGACGCAGCCAUCACCGCUGCCGCUCGCCCUCGCUCCGAGAAACGACAAGCUGAGGCCGCUCAGAAAGUCGUCGACUUGCGCGCAUAGGAGAGCUGGAAAGCGUUAAAAAAUGAAAUAGGGACCCCGGGAGUGAUUCAUACGACAGUUUAUGAUUUUUGUCAGUAAUUUUUUUUUCUUGGAGAUUGGUUUCUGGUUUUCUUUAACUUUUUCUUUUUCUUCUGGGUAUUCAUACGACAGUUGAAAUAGGACACCGGGAGUGAAGUUCAUGGUGGCGCUUGAUAUCGGAAGUGACCUGUUCUGGGUACCCUGUGAUUGCACAAGAUGUCUUGCUACUGAUAGCCCAGCCUUUGCUUCGCUGGGGAAAUCAUGGGUCGAAUCUGACAGAGGAGGAGCUUGAAACACAUUCCAUAUCAGCUUGGAAAGAAAGAAAGUGUUAUCUGAAUAGGCAGAACAAUGGAGUUGUGUUUUCCAGACGUUUUAUCCAUUCCGUGACAAAUUUUUAGGAGAUCCCUUUUCACUUUAUUGAUUGCAUACAUAUCCAUCUUCGCUCCAAAUUAAAGUGCGUUAAACCCCCGACCCCCAAACCCCCGAACCCUCGAACCCCUGAACCCCCGAACCCCUCAACCCCGCAACCCUAAACCCUCAACCUUAAACCCUUAACCCAGAACCAUAAACUCUAAACCCUAAACCAUGCCCUUAAACAAAACACCAUUAAACCCAAAUCGAAAACCAUAAACCCUAAACCUAAAAUCCUAAACGCUACACCCUAUCGUUUAAACCCUAACCACUAUAUCAUAAACCUUAAACCCUAUACCUUAAACUCUACAUCCUAAACAUUUAACCAUCAACCUUAAACCCUUAACCUUGAACCCUAAACUCUGAACCUUAAACCAUACACCCUGAACCAUAAACCUUGUACUGUAUACCCCAAACCUCAAACCCUAAACUCAUGCCCUAAACCAUAAACCCUAAACCCUAAACAAUCAGCCUUAAAACCUAAAUCAUAAACCCUAAAUCCCAAACCUUAGACCAUAAACCUUAAGCCCUAAACCCUGAACCUUAAAUCGUAAACCCUAAACCUUAAACCCUACACCCUAAACACUUAACCAUCAACCUCAAACCCUCAACCUUAAACCCUUAACUCUUAACCCUAAACCUUGAACCUUAAACUACAGACCCUAAACACUAAAACCUAAACCUAAAACCUUAUACCCUACACCAUAAACCCUAACCCAUAAACCCUAAGCCAUAUACCCUAACCCCUAAUGUCUAAACUCUAAACCCAAAUUCCUAAAUCAUACACCCUAAAGCCUACACCCUAAAUCCUACAUCCUAAAUUCUACACCCUACACUCAAACCCUCAACCUUAAACCCUUAACCCAGAACCAUAAACUCUAAAUCCUAAAGCAUGCCCUUAAACCAAACACCAUUAAACCUAAACUGAAAACCUUUAACCCUAAACCCAAAAUCCUAAAGCCUAGAUGAAGAAGAAGCAAAAGCAAAAACUAAGAAAAAGAGUCUAGCCUUAAAAUCUGAGGUAGAAAGGAGCAAGAGCAAAAUAGAAGAUGAGGACUCAAAAGAUGAAGAAAAUUUGAGACUCAUGAUAAAAAGGCUCAGGAGGUUCAUGAAAUCAAAAGACAAAGGAAGAGUUAAAUACGAAAAGAGAGAAAAUCAAGGAUCUUCCUCAAACUAUAGAUGCUAUGGUUGCGGAGAAAGGGGGCAUUUAAAAGCUUAUUGCCCAAAUCAAAAGAAGGAUGAAGAAAUAAAAGAAAAGAAGUUCUUCAAGAAAAAGAAAGCCUACAUUGCAUGGGACGAUGACAACGAAACAAUUUUCGACUUGAGCAAUUCUGAUGAAGAAGCAAACAUCUGUUUAAUAGCAGAUGACGACAAUGCUAGAAGCCAAGUUAUUUCAAAAUGAAGGAAGAAUUUUUUGGGUGUGCACCAAAACUUGGUAAAGUAUGGUUUGUCAAAUUAAGGGAGAGUUUUUAACUUGAAAAGAAAAUUUUGUUAAUUUUUUUUUAACUACUUCUCUUUCUUCCUUAAAGAAUCAAAUGCAAUUUAAUUCUGUUUAAGUUACUCAAUAAAGAGAAGUAUUUUUUUUCUA